AUAGUGUUGACAGUGUACUGCAGGUCUUUAUGGGCCAGGUAACUAUAGUGUUGACAGUGUACUGCUGGUCUGUGUCAUCACAGGUAACUAUAGUGUUGACAGUGUACUGCAGGUCUGUGUCAUCACAGGUAACUAUAGUGUUGACAGUGUACUGCAGGUCUUUAUGGUCCAGGUCACUAUAGUGUUGACAGUGUACUGCUGGUCUGUGUCAUCACAGGUAACUAUAGUGUUGACAGUGUACUGCAGGUCUUUAUGGUCCAGGUAACUAUAGUGUUGACAGUGUACUGCAGGUCUUUAUGGUCCAGGUAACUAUAGUGUUGACAGUGUACUGCAGGUCUUUAUGGGCCAGGUAACUAUAGUGUUGACAGUGUACUGCAGGUCUUUAUGGGCCAGGUAACUAUAGUGUUGACAGUGUACUGCUGGUCUGUGUCAUUACAGGUAACUAUAGUGUUGACAGUGUACUGCAGGUCUUUAUGGUCCAGGUAACUAUAGUGUUGACAGUGUGCUGCAGGUCUGUGUCAUUACAGGUAACUAUAGUGUUGACAGUGUACUGCAGGUCUGUGUCAUUACAGGUAACUAUAGUGUUGACAGUGUACUGCAGGUCUUUAUGGUCCAGGUAACUAUAGUGUUGACAGUGUACUGCUGGUCUGUGUCAUCACAGGUAACUAUAGUGUUGACAGUGUACUGCAGGUCUUUAUGGUCCAGGUAACUAUAGUGUUGACAGUGUGCUGCAGGUCUUUAUGGUCCAGGUAACUAUAGUGUUGACAGUGUACUGCAGGUCUUUAUGGGCCAGGUAACUAUAGUGUUGACAGUGUACUGCUGGUCUGUGUCAUUACAGGUAACUAUAGUGUUGACAGUGUACUGCAGGUCUUUAUGGUCCAGGUAACUAUAGUGUUGACAGUGUAUUGCAGGUCUUUAUGGUCCAGGUAACUAUAGUGUUGACAGUGUACUGCUGGUCUGUGUCAUUACAGGUAACUAUAGUGUUGACAGUGUACUGCAGGUCUUUAUGGUCCAGGUAACUAUAGUGUUGACAGUGUACUGCAGGUCUGUGUCAUCACAGGUAACUAUAGUGUUGACAGUGUACUGCAGGUCUUUAUGGGCCAGGUAACUAUAGUGUUGACAGUGUACUUGCAGGUCUUUAUGGGCCAGGUAACUAUAGUGUUGACAGUGUACUGCUGGUCUGUGUCAUUACAGGUAACUAUAGUGUUGACAGUGUACUGCAGGUCUUUAUGGUCCAGGUAACUAUAGUGUUGACAGUGUACUGCAGGUCUGUGUCAUUACAGGUAACUAUAGUGUUGACAGUGUACUGCAGGUCUUUAUGGUCCAGGUAACUAUAAUGUUGACAGUGUACUGCAGGUCUGUGUGGUCACAGGUAACUAUAGUGUUGACAGUGUACUGCAGGUCUUUAUGGUCCAGGUAACUAUAGUGUUGACAGUGUACUUGCAGGUCUUUAUGGUCCAGGUAACUAUAGUGUUGACAGUGUACUUGCAGGUCUUUAUGGUCACAGGUAACUAUAGUGUUGACAGUCUACUGCAGGUCUUUAUGGUCCAGGUAACUAUAGUGUUGACAGUGUACUGCAGGUCUGUGUCAUUACAGGUAACUAUAGUGUUGACAGUGUACUGCAGGUCUUUAUGGUCCAGGUAACUAUAGUGUUGACAGUGUACUGCAGGUCUGUGUCAUCACAGGUAACUAUAGUGUUGACAGUGUACUGCAGGUCUUUAUGGGCCAGGUAACUAUAGUGUUGACAGUGUACUGCAGGUCUUUAUGGUCCAGGUAACUAUAGUGUUGACAGUGUACUUGCAGGUCUUUAUGGGCCAGGUAACUAUAGUGUUGACAGUGUACUGCUGGUCUGUGUCAUUACAGGUAACUAUAGUGUUGACAGUGUACUGCAGGUCUUUAUGGUCCAGGUAACUAUAGUGUUGACAGUGUACUGCAGGUCUUUAUGGGCCAGGUAACUAUAGUGUUGACAGUGUACUGCAGGUCUUUAUGGGCCAGGUAACUAUAGUGUUGACAGUGUACUGCAGGUCUUUAUGGGCCAGGUAACUAUAGUGUUGACAG